UACGGAGGGGGCUAGCGUUGUUCGGAAUUACUGGGCGUAAAGCGCACGUAGGCGGCUUGGUAAGUUAGAGGUGAAAGCCUGGGGCUCAACCCGGGAACUGCGUCCGAGACUGGCAGGCUCGAAUCCGGGAGAGGGAUGUGGAAUUCCAGGUGUAGCGGUGAAAUGCGUAGAUAUCUGGAGGAACACCGGUGGCGAAGGCGGCAUCCUGGACCGGUAUUGACGCUGAGGCGCGAAAGCCAGGGGAGCAAACGGG
rnacentral:rRNA from 1 species